CCUACGGGAGGCAGCAGUAAGGAAUAUUGGUCAAUGGAGGCGACUCUGAACCAGCCAUGCCGCGUGCAGGAAGACGGCCCUAUGGGUUGUAAACUGCUUUUGAACUAGAGAAAACCUUGGUACGUGUACCGAGUUGAUAGUAUAGUUAGAAUAAGCAUCGGCUAACUUCGUGCCAGCAGCCGCGGUAAGACGAAGGAUGCAAGCGUUAUCCGGAUUCAUUGGGUUUAAAGGGUGCGUAGGCGGACUGAUAAGUCAGUGGUGAAAUCUCUCAGCUUAACUGAGAAACUGCCAUUGAUACUGUUAGUCUAGAGUACAGAUGAUGUGGGCGGAAUAUGACAUGUAGUGGUGAAAUACUUAGAUAUGUCAUAGAACACCGAUUGCGAAGGCAGCUCACAAAACUGUAACUGACGCUGAGGCACGAAAGUGCGGGGAUCAAACAGGAUUAGAUACCCUGGUAGUCCGCACCGUAAACGAUGAUUACUCGUUGUUGGCGAUAUGACAGUCAGCGACCAAGCGAAAGCGAUAAGAAUCCACCUGGGGAGUACGCCGGCAACGGUGAAACGUCAAAUGAAAUUGACGGCGNGAGACGNGCGACGGACGACACGAGGGGAGGAGG
rnacentral:rRNA from 1 species